rnacentral:rRNA from 1 species
AGCGAACGCUGGCGGCAGGCCCAACACAUGCGAGUCGAACGAACUCUUCGGAGUUAGUGGCGGACGGGUGAGUAACACGUGGGAACGUGCCUUUAGGUUCGGAAUAACUCAGGGAAACUUGUGCUAAUACCGAAUGUGCCCUUCGGGGGAAAGAUUUAUCGCCUUUAGAGCGGCCCGCGUCUGAUUAGCUAGUUGGUGAGGUAACGGCUCACCAAGGCGACGAUCAGUAGCUGGUCUGAGAGGAUGACCAGCCACACUGGGACUAAGACACGGCCCAGACUCCUACGGGAGGCAGCAGUGGGGAAUCUUGCGCAAUGGGCGAAAGCCUGACGCAGCCAUGCCGCGUGAAUGAUGAAGGUCUUAGGAUUGUAAAAUUCUUUCACCGGGGACGAUAAUGACGGUACCCGGAGAAGAAGCCCCGGCUAACUUCGUGCCAGCCGCCGCGGUAAAAC